rnacentral:rRNA from 1 species
GACAGAGGGGGCAAGCGUUGCUUGGAAUUACUGGGCGUAAAGGGCGCGUAGGCGGGAUGGCAAGUCGGUCGUGAAAUCCCUCGGCUCAACCGAGGAACGUCGAUCGAUACUGCUGUUCUUGAGGAUUGCAGAGGAGACUGGAAUUCCCGGUGUAGCGGUGAAAUGUGUAGAGAUCGGGAGGAACACCGGUGGCGAAGGCGGGUCUCUGGGCAAUUCCUGACGCUGAGGCGCGAAAGCGUGGGGAGCAAACGGG